CCUUUGUUGAGAUAACUUCUUCUAUGCUCAAACCAGCAGGACCUCCUGGCUGCUGCCUGGGAAUUGCCCUGCCCUGUUUUGAUUAUGGACUGCUUAGGCUCUAGCAAUCAGUACCAUUUCCCCUGCAGGACCCUACAGAACGAGAGAGCAACAACCAUCGACUAGGAGAUCUUGCAACUGCAAUCCAGGAUGCAUAUUUACUCUUGAGUUAUUUUCUUAAGAUUGCAAGUGGCUACAGCUGACAAGGAGUUUUACCAUUAGCUUGAUUGUCUAUAGGAAGAAAAGAAGACAUCGAUCAACUAACCCAUUUGAUCAGUUUUAGCAAGAGUAAUGUUUUGUUUCAGACUUAUUUUUGUGUAAAGGAUGUAUAAGGGCAUCAACACUGGUGAAUAUAAUAGUAAUUUUUUAAAAAAGAAAGAAACUGAGGGCAAUGAGACUGAUGAGAAGAUCUCUUCUCUUCCCUUGCCAGCUGAGACAAAUGGUAUAUUUUUGUUCAAAAGGGCAUGCAGUAAUUUUUUUUAAAAAAUAAGAACCCCUCUGUAUCUAGAUUUCAAAACCUAUGUACACUCUCACCCUUGAUGUUUAGCAUCUGAAUUGAAAAUUUGGCCUCUGAAGUUGAUAUGGAAACUGUGUAUAUUUCACAUAGCUUCUUGUGAGGUUUGUAUGCAAGUUCUCAAGAGUGGCAAAGAAGCUUUUUUAAAAAAAAUCAAACUGGUCAUUCAUGCUGCCACUGCACCAUUUUCAGACUCUGGAAAUGCCAGCUGUAAGAAUGGCAGAAGUGCUGCUCCAUGACCAGAACAAGAUGCUGCUUUCUUCCCAUGACUCUUUGCUGGGUGAGAGCAGAGUGAGAUGCAGUGUUAUUUAUCCCUCCUACUAUGGAAGGAAGCAAUCCAGAAGUGGGACCUCCUGGUUGAUCUUCUGCCUCCUGCAAGGGAACAGGAAGAUGCUUUUCUUCCUCCAAGAACCUCAGAGCGGUUUACAUAUGAUUCCCUGGUGAUUUCCUCAUGGCCCAGCUCUUUUAGCUUCAGCAGCUGAACCAUCUCCUCUCCCUUCAGUUCCGUGCCAGAUUGGUUCAACAGCACAUGAAUAAGAUGGGAACAACCCAGUGUCUGAUGCAAUGUAUAUUGAAGAACACCAGUGUGACAAAAGAGAUAGUGAAAUGGAUUCAAAUGGAAUGGCCUUAAAUAGAUUUGAAUGGGGAUAGCAAGGAGAAUAUUAUAGCUCAUGCUGCAUGAAAACAAAGGGCAAGAACAACCAUGUGUUGAAAGGGAAGCAGAAAAAGAUCUUAGCAACAGAAGAUAGUGAAGUGGUCCAGUUUCAGCCCACCAAGAAGCACUCAUGCACAUACUGGGAGAAUGUUCUUUUUUUUUUGCUUUUUGCACAAGAUUAAAACCAUGGAUUAAAAGAUGGAAAAUGAAUCAGGUGUCAAGUCAUAUUAGAUUCAACAUUCUUUAUACUGGAUUUCCUUUUUUAUUAUAAUGGAAAAGGUUUAGUCACACAUGUAUGAUAAAAAAAAAACCUCAUAGCUGAUGUUUACAGUUUCUCUGAGCUUCCAAUCCAGAGUACUGUUUCUGAUUUCUCUUAUUUUUGAAGGCUUACUUUUAAUGACAAAUCAGAGUGAUUUUUAAAAAAUUAACAGCAUUUGUGAGUUAACAAGCAUAUGAGCACUUGCUUGCAAAUUUUUGGUUACUCAUUUGAUUCUGGAUUAAUAGCUGUUCACACAUUUUUAAAGCAUUGGGACUGGUUCAAUCACACUUAUAUUUUCUUUCCAUACUAGCAGUCAUAAAUGUCCCUAGAUAUGUACUGACAUGGAGCCAUUUCACACAUUACACAGAGGAAUGCCUGGAUUUGCCAUGUAUACACUGAACAGAGAUGUUUAUGCUAUUUACUGCAUAAAGUCACAGGUACAAACACUGGGUAAAUAGCACAGUAAAAAAUAGUUUAUCUCAUACCUUAAGGAACUGUGCUACUUUUUAAUUCCUGUUGUCAAUCACUAUUAAUUGGCUGCUUGAAAAGCCAAACUCUGUUCAUCUCAGGUUUAGACUGUUGCAAGGUAGGAUUAGCUGAAUAUUUCCUGUUGCAUAUUUUGUCAUUACAAAUUAUACAUUGGACAACAAUGUUAUUUUGAUAGGCAGAUAAGCCUUCAUCCAGUAAUGUUCUAACGUUCACACAGCAUGAUGUGUUUUUUCUGCCCUGACCCUUACAUUUCAGGGAAAAAUAGUCAUUAAUUUUGAUGAAUUUAUAAUUCUGUGUAGUCCUGUGAGCUCUGUUGACUACAAUGUUCCUGAAUCCAGGACUGCAUAUAGUGUGUGUGUUACGUAUCUGUAUGAAAAACACAAAUACUGUUACAUUUCUUAAGAUGUAAAAAUUGAUGAAGUGUGCAAGAAUGUCAGUUUCAGAGUAAAGGUGUGAAAUUUUUCUGAUCAGCUUACAGAGAAUAA